UACGUAGGGUGCAAGCGUUGUCCGGAAUUAUUGGGCGUAAAGAGCUUGUAGGCGGUUUGUCGCGUCUACUGUGAAAUUUCGGGGCUCAACCCCGAACUUGCAGUGGGUACGGGCAGACUAGAGUGUGGUAGGGGAGACUGGAAUUCCUGGUGUAGCGGUGAAAUGCGCAGAUAUCGGGAGGAACACCAAUUGCGAAGGCGAGCUCGCUGGGACGUUACGUGACGCUGAGACGCGAAAGCG
rnacentral:rRNA from 1 species